ACUGGUUUUGUGGUCCAGGGUCACAUAAAUAAUUAAAUAAAUGAAUUUAGAAAUGCAUAUUUCUACCGUAUUGGUUAUUUGUUGAUAUUUGAGGUUUUUUUUAAAUCAGCCAUAUCACCCUGUAGCCCAAGACUGGUUGCCCACUGAAGCUAAGCAGGGCUGAGCCUGGUUAGUACCUGGAUGGGAGACCUCCUGGGAAAACUAGGUUGCUGCUGGAAGAGGUGUUAGUGAGGCCAGCAGGGGGUGCUGACCCUGUGGUCUGUGUGGGUCCUAACACCCCAGUAUAGGGAUGGGGACACUAUACUGUCAAAAAGCACCGUCCUUCGAAGGAGACGUUAAACCGAGGUCCUGACUCUCUGUGGUCGUUAAAAAUCCCAGGAUGUCCUUCGAAAAGAGUAGGGGCGUUACCCUGACAUCCUGGCCCAAUUUGCCCAUUGGCCUCUGUCCAUCAUGGCCUCCUAAUCAUCCCCAUAUACUGAUUGGCUUCAUCAUUCUGUCUCCUUUCCACCAAUAAGCUGGUGUGUGGUGGGCGUUCUGGCGCAAUAUGGCUGCCGUCGCAUCAUCCAGGUGGAUGCUGCACAUUGGUGGUGGCUGUAAAGCGCUUUGAGUACCCAGAAAAGCGCUAUAUAAAUAUGCUGACGCCAACCUUCACCUCCAUCCUCCCCACCACCACCAGGAUGGUCCCUGUCCAUACCUCCCAGGGGGCCGGCUACGCCCCUGCUUUCAUCUUCAGGCAGGAAAUGCAGAGUCCGCAACCCUUUAGGAUGUGAGCUACGGACGGGGCCUACGCCAAAGAACUUUAUCUUACAAUAUUUUGCUUGCUGAUUGUUAAUAAAUAUCAUUGUUACAUUA